rnacentral:rRNA from 1 species
CAUGCAAGUCGAGCGGUAAGGCCCCUUCGGGGGUACACGAGCGGCGAACGGGUGAGUAACACGUGGGUGAUCUGCCUCGCACUCUGGGAUAAGCCUGGGAAACUGGGUCUAAUACCGGAUAUGACCACUGGUCGCAUGGUUGGUGGUGGAAAGAUUUAUCGGUGCGAGAUGAGCCCGCGGCCUAUCAGCUUGUUGGUGGGGUAAUGGCCUACCAAGGCGACGACGGGUAGCCGGCCUGAGAGGGCGACCGGCCACACUGGGACUGAGACACGGCCCAGACUCCUACGGGAGGCAGCAGUGGGGAAUAUUGCACAAUGGGCGAAAGCCUGAUGCAGCGACGCCGCGUGAGGGAUGACGGCCUUCGGGUUGUAAACCUCUUUCGACAGGGACGAAGCGCAAGUGACGGUACCUGUAGAAGAAGCACCGGCCAACUACGUGCCAGCAGCCGCGGUAAUACGUAGGGUGCGAGCGUUGUCCGGAAUUACUGGGCGUAAAGAGCUUGUAGGCGGCUUGUCGCGUCGAUCGUGAAAACUCACAGCUCAACUGUGAGCUUGCGGUCGAUACGGGCAGGCUUGAGUACUGCAGGGGAGACUGGAAUUCUUGGUGUA